rnacentral:lncRNA from 1 species
AGUGCUGGGAUUACAGGCUUGAGCCACCGCGCCCGGCCUUGUGGGCUCUUAACAGAACACAGAUAUGUAGAACUCUUCUUGAAUUCUACAGCAGGAGCAAGUGGUGGUGCUUUUGGUAGCCAAAUGAUUGGAGACAUGGGUUUGCCAAACCCGUCCAGUUACGGUGGCCCAGCCAGCCAGCAGCUGAGUGGUGAUUAUGGAGGCGGAUGUGUGUGGUGGCCAGAGCAGCAUGAGUGGAUACGCCUAGGCGACAGAGCGAGACUCCAUCUCAAAAAAAAAAAAAGAAGAAAACUAGUCAUUGCAACUUUGGUGGAAUACUGUCGAGCCAGAAAAUAUCUGCCUCCAUUUAUUAAAACGACCAAGUUUUACAGGAAAACUUCAGUGAUUUUUCAAUGAAACAUUGCAUAG